UACGUAGGGUGCGAGCGUUGCUCGGAUUUAUUGGGCGUAAAGGGCGCGUAGGCGGCUACGCACGUCCGUUGUGAAAUCGCUCGGCUCAACUGGGCGGGGUCAGCGGAUACGGCGUAGCUGGAGCAAGCUAGGGGGCAAUGGAAUUCCCGGUGUAGUGGUGGAAUGCGUAGAUAUCGGGAGGAACACCAGUGGCGAAGGCGGUUGCCUGGAGCUUUGCUGACGCUGAUGCGCGAAAGCGUGGGGAGCGAUCCGG
rnacentral:rRNA from 1 species